rnacentral:lncRNA from 1 species
CUUUUCUCUGGUUGGUGGGGCUUCCUCACUGGAACAAAGGGGAGUAUGUACAUUUCAUAAUAGAGUUCUGUGAUGAAAUGUCCUAAGGAGAUACAUGUACAUUUCAUAAUAGGCAUUCUGUGAUGGAAUGUUCUGAGGGGAUAAAAGCUGGAAUCGGUCUCAGCACAUCUCAGUUACUCAUUUUGAUUCGUUUGGACAAGUGAGUUACUACAGCGCUUAUCUGGAAAAAUGACUAGAAAACUACCUCCAAUCUCUCGGCCUCAACCCCAGGCUCCAUUUCUUUCUGUUCCUUCCCGCUCUCGUCUUCCAGCCCUCCUUCCCCCCGUUACUCCUCAAACUUCCUGCCCUCAGCCUCCUCUCCAGAGCCGUCCAUCUUGUUCGAUUUUCUGCCCUACCCGUUUGCCCAAGCUGACUGAUGUCUCCCCUUCCCAGUACCCUACCUCAAGGAACUUUCUGCCCAGCUCUUCCUCUGUUACUACCAGAGCGUCUGUGUGCCGCCCCCCUGUUCGUCAGGCACCCCUUUCCCAGUGCCCUCCUAUCUUCCCCCCUCGCCCUCCUCAUAGCCCUUCCUGCUAGUUUCCUGUACUCUAGUCCCCACUCCCUAUCCAGCCACCCCCAACCAGACCUGACGACUUACAAAUCUCACCCUGGAGAAAUGAUUUCCCUCAUACUGGGGCAGUUCUCAGGAGGUUCAGAAUUGCCAGGACUGUGGAUUCCCAGCAACGACCUGGCAGACACGGGGAAUCCAAGACCAUGGCAAGCGAAUAUUCAGCCUGGCCUGCGCCUUUCCUCUCCUGCCUGGGCAGGCAGACUGCACAAGCGUCUGCAUUUGAACUGGCUUCUCCGUGGAACUUGGUCUGUAACCACAGAGCAAACUGUAGAACCAGGAGCAGAGAAGUUGAUGGCAAGCCUUUUUCCUGGCAGUAUCGAGAGGCAGUUCUAGUAAAGAGGCUGGAUUCCGAGAGGCCAGAGUGGUAUCAUACGAACGCUGUUGCCUGGAGAUGGAGUGGGGCGCCGUUGCCUAGAGACUGCAGGAGGCCUGCGGCCGAGCGAGUGGUAAGAGGACGCCAAGAGAGCGCCGGACCCACCGAGCAGCUCCAAGGCCAUGGCGGGACACCCGAAAGAGAGGGUGGUCACAGAUGAGGUUCAUCAGAACCAGAUCUUGCGGGAGCUGUACCUCAAAGAGUUACGAACCCAGAAACUCUACACUCAGUACCACGUGAAUCCCCUGCGCAAGGUUCACAGGAUUACGAGGAAGCCCAUGUCUUGGCAUGAUAACCUGGAGGAACCCGCAGACGCCAGGUUUCUGAAUCUCAUUCACCAUGCUGCCCAGGGGCCAAGGAAGAAGUACCAGGAGGCACAAACUGAAAACCAGGAAAUUGGGUGGGACUCAGAGCCCUUGGUCGACCCAGAACGCAGUGACCGUAGGAUGAACCACUUCAGGGUCUACAAUGACAUCACUCUGUACAAAGCUAAAAUGUGGAGCUUGGGAGAAGAUGAUCGCCACAAGUAGCAUUUCAGCAAUGGAGUCAGUUCCUGGAUUUAAUGUCCUAAAUAUCCGCUGCCUAGAAGAGUAAAUAUUACUUUAACCCCCCGUCCAUAAUUCAUGGAUAAUGGCAAAAAUUAGGAAGCAUAAAAAAAUGCGGAAGAAGGAAAUAAAAAUUGCCCAUUAUCUCACCAUAUGGAAGUGACUAAUAUUAGCAUAUUAAACCAUUUGUUUUUAAAAUUAAUAAUAAAUUGCAUAUAUUUAUUGUGUACAAUGUGAUGUUUUGAAAUAUGUAUAUAUGGUAGAAUGGUUAAAUCGAGUAUCUCACAUACUUAUUUUGUGGUGAGAGGACUUAAAAUCUAUUCUCUUAGGGAUUUUCAAGAAUACAAUACAUAGUUAUUAACUGUAGUCACUACAGUUAAUCUUGACAGCUCUCUUGAACUUAUUCCUCCAACUGAAAUUUUGUAUCCUUUAGCCAACAUCGCCCCAAUUGCUACCCCUAACCCCUGGUAAUCACCAUUCUAAUCUCUAAUUCUAUGAGUUUGACUUUUUUAGAUUUAGAAAAUGUGGUAUAUUUACUUAAUGGAAUACAAUUCGGCCUUAAGAAAGAAAGAAAUCUCGUCAUUUACAGCAACAUGGAGGAACUUGAAGGACAUUAUGUUAAGUGAAAUAAGCCAGGCACAGAAAGACAAAUACCACAUGAUCUCACUUAUAUGGUGAAUCUAAAUAUGCCAACAUGUUUGCAUACUUCUAUAUUUUUCUGUAUAUUUG